UAGGGGUGGACAAACGGUAACGACCCGACGGAACCCGACCGAACCGAAGUGGUUUUGGCUCUACGGGUCGGUUAUGUUCGGAUUUCGGGUAUGAGCAAAGCAGAUAAUUGGAUGUGAUUGGGUAUGCAUGGUCGGCUUCGGUGCUAAACAUUUGAUCCGUCGGAACCCGUAACCGACCGAAUCAUCUAGUAUAGUUUGUUUCAGAACUGGGCUGGGCUGAAAAUGCAAUUGGCCCAUAAACUUCUUAAGCUCAUAUUACUAGGGUUACUCACUUACCCUUUUCAAUUUCCUCUUCACUUAAUCUCGUCUGCUUCUAGGGUUACAGCCACCACCACCAUCCUCAAUUCCUCAUCGUCAUCCUGCUCGAAACGCCGCUCCAAGCUUCAACUACCACCAUCUUCCUCAUCGUCGUCCAUCAUCUGUUCUGGGUAAGUAUCCCGCUCAAAGCUUCUAGGGUUUGUUCCAUUUGUUUUUUUUCUUCUUCACGAUUCAGUCUCUUACAGAAGUUUUACUUAUCACCUGAUUUUGUUCCUUGAUUUACAUGUGGAUUGUGAUGUCGCUUAGGAGUUAUGGUCAGCUGAGAUUAACUUCACAGUUUUAAGAGGUAGUUUCUCUUCAUUUAAAAGCUCAUAAGAUUAAAUCUAAGGAAGAAUACUUGAGCUGCAAUGUAGCAAUCAAGCUAUUGGGAGAAUAAUUGUAUCCAGGUCUCUAUAUUUGCAGCAUAAUAGAAGUUUUCACAGAAGACUUAAUAAUGGAGGACUAAAGAGUUCUUGAAAAUUUAUGUUGAGUUUCUAUCCCUAACUUUAACUUAUGUUUUUCUACAUGGAAAAACUUUUGAACAACCAGAAGCAGAGAAUUUGGCUUGGGAAUGAGCAAGAUCAUUUUAAUUUUUUUAAGAUCUUAGUAUUUGUUUAUGUGAUUUUUUAAUUUUUAAGGACUUGAUAUGGACUGAAUUUUUUAAAUUGAAUUGUGAUAAUUUAAUGCUGUAAUUUAUAUAUUUC